rnacentral:rRNA from 1 species
GAUGAACGCUGACAGAAUGCUUAACACAUGCAAGUCUUUGGCGAAGCUGUGCUUUCCCAGCCUAGCCAAGGCGGACGGGUGAGUAACGCGUAAGGAACUUGCCCUGCAGUCAUGUAUAACAGACUGAAACGACUGAUAAGACCUGGUAAAGUCAGGCGGACUCAUGUCCAGCCUGAUGAAAAGUGAUGCUGCAGGAGAGCCUUUCGUCCUAUUAGCUUGUUGGUGGGGUAACGGCCCACCAAGGCGAUGAUAGGUAGCCGGCCUGAGAGGGUGGACGGCCACAAGGGGAAUGAGAUGCGGCACUUACUCAUACGGGAGGCAGCAGUGGGGAAUAUUGGACAAAGGGGGCAACCCUGAUCCAGAAAUUCUGUGUGCACGAUGAAGGUUUUCGGAUUGUAAAGUGCUUUCAGAAGGGAAGAAAAAAAUGACGGUACCUGCAGAAGAAGCGACGGCUAAAUACGUG